GAUGAACGCUGGCGGCGUCCCUAAUACAUGCAAGUCGAGCGAACGGACGAGAAGCUUGCUUCUCUGAUGUUAGCGGCGGACGGGUGAGUAACACGUGGAUAACCUACCUAUAAGACUGGGAUAACUUCGGGAAACCGGAGCUAAUACCGGAUGAUAUUUUGAACCGCAUGGUUCAAAAGUGAAAGACGGUCUUGCUGUCACUUAUAGAUGGAUCCGCGCUGCAUUAGCUAGUUGGUAAGGUAACGGCUUACCAAGGCAACGAUGCAUAGCCGACCUGAGAGGGUGAUCGGCCACACUGGAACUGAGACACGGUCCAGACUCCUACGGGAGGCAGCAGUAGGGAAUCUUCCGCAAUGGGCGAAAGCCUGACGGAGCAACGCCGCGUGAGUGAUGAAGGUCUUCGGAUCGUAAAACUCUGUUAUUAGGGAAGAACAUAUGUGUAAGUAACUGUGCACAUCUUGACGGUACCUAAUCAGAAAGCCACGGCUAACUACGUG
rnacentral:rRNA from 1 species